CUGGGUUUCUGAACCUUGCAGGAAUAGGAGCUUCUGCCUGCUUAGACUGGUGGGGAGAGGGAGCUGCAGGCCAUGGCACGUACUCCCAGGGCUGGGAGAGCUGGAAAGUGGGAAGAUGGUCCGGUACUGACAUGGAAGUAAUGAAGACAUUAAUUGAAGAACAGAAUUCAGACAGCAUCUCGGAGGAAGAGCAUGAAAAUGAAUUGUUGCCGGUUGAGAAGCAUUACCAACUUGAUAAUCAAGAGGGCAUUACAUUUGUACAAACACUUGCACAUCUCCUCAAAGGAAACAUUGGAACUGGCCUUCUAGGACUUCCACUUGCAAUAAAAAAUGCAGGUGUUGUGAUUGGACCCAUCAGCCUUGUAUUUAUAGGAGUUGUAUUUGUUCAUUGUAUGCAUAUCUUGGUACGUUGCAGCCACUGACUUUGUCAGAGGUAAUUGUGCAGCUCUUUUUUCUGCUAUAGAAUUGUCAUUUGCUCUCUUUAUUUUUAUUUUUGAUUUUUAGCCUGUAAAGUGUCUUGAUGUUGUAAUAUUUUCAGUCCUGAUUCUGAGACCAAAAGAAGGGUCACAAAGGUCAAUGUUCAACAACUAACGUCAGCUUCUAGAUAUCACACAGGGAUGCUUAGUUGUUUGUUUGUCAUCCUCUCUUCUACAGUGCUUUGAACAAUAUUUGCUUUUAAAUACUUAAGAGCGCUUUGCUUACUGCUUGUGUACCCAACUGGGCUUAUUUACAAUUAAGCAACACCCCUGCUAUGCAAUGUGCCAGAGGUGGAAGGAGGAGAGACAAGAGCCCUGUCACUGCCCUACCCCUGCUGCCACAGCCAAGCAGCUGUUCCACAGACACUCAGGAUCCCUGGAACGGCCCCUGCACCAGGGCAGUCAGACCUGGGGAGAGAGCCCCUGCUUGACCUCAGGUGUCAUGAUUGGUUUGACCCUGAGAGGAAGAGCAAGGCCCUCCAGCUGGAAACCGUGGGGUUUUCUGGCACCUAAGGAGCAUGAGCAUGUGCCAGGCAAACACUUCCAAAGGCUGACACCUCAGAGAAAGGCAAACAAGCACAUUCAGAGCUCCCAGAUCAUUAAGCAUCUCCCUGUGAUGGGCAAGGAAGCCAUCACCCUAAAGUGGAGCAGUCACGUACUCGGGGAGUUCAAAGGUUCAAGAGUUCAAGGACAGCUUAUUGCAUUGCAGUUUUUGCUGACCUACUUUUGUAACCGCCGCUUGUGGAAAAGUACCAGGUUUAGUGGAAAAUGCGCAGAUGUGGGUUUGGUGUUACCUUAUAUGGAAAUGUUGUUUACCGCUGAUGCCUUACUCUUUACAAAAAGGCAUAAAAGAACACCCCGCCUUUUAGUCGGGGCCAUUUUGCCUCCUUGUUGGCUUAUUGUCUUUGCUCGAGCAAAUAAACUGCAGGAAGCCUUUACCUUUGUUUAACUAACUGGACAUCGUAUACGUCCCAGCUGGAUUCAGGAAGACGAUGGCAAGAAAACGGAUCAUUUGACCCGACUCAUUUAACUGCCUUGCGAAAAAUCUUGGCGAACCUCCGGCCCGGUCAGAUGGACUAUUGGUUUCUGUGGGACAAUGCCGCUACCAAACGAUUUAAAAGAAUGUCCCUUAUUACCUCCCCGCUUUUAGCUCCUCUACAAUGUUCCAAACCCUCCACUCCGCCCUCUUAUUCAGAAGAUGACUAUAGGCCUAUGUCCCAACCUCCCGGCCCUCCCCCACCAUUAAUCCCACCUGAUCUGUUCAUUCCUGUGCCAGCAGGGAACUCGGGAAAUCAUGGGGAGGUGUCACCCUGACUGCCUCCCGGCGACCGCCCAAGUCCUGAGCCUGUAGAUGGAUCAAGGCAUCCCUCUCCAGACUCAACCUCCCCGACCACUGAUUUAACUCCCAUAGGUAAUAAUACCCGACAAUGAGUACCUAACUCUAGCCUUCUGGCUCCCCUGAGAGUACCCAGUACCUGGUGAUAAUGGCCAAGUUAUCAGUCACUGGACACAUACUCCGUUCACCACCACUGACCUCUUAAAUUGGCAAGAAAAUACUCCCAGACUUAGAGACGAUCCAGAAAUAGUCCUAAGGCAUUUUAAAACUAUCUUCAUGACCCAUCCUCCCUCGUGGUCAGACAACAUGCAACUUCUCGAAAGCCUCUUAACCUCAGAUGAGAGAACCCAAGUGUUGCGCCAUGCUGACCAAUUUCUAGCCGAUCAAAACCACCCCUUGCUUAAUGGUGUACUUAGGCAAGAUCCAAAUUGGAAUUACAACAAGGAAGAAGGGAAAAAUGCAAUACAAAUGCUAAAGGAAAGUAUCUUAGAAGGACUAAAAAAGGCAGGAGAUAAAACUGCAAAUUGGUCCAAGGUGACAGGUGUUGUUCAGGGUCCAGAAGAACACCCUUCAGACUACUUUGAAAGACUCUGUAAAACUAUGUGCCAACAUGGAAACAUGGACCCCGAGUCACCUGCCACUUUGCCUGUGUUAAGACUUGUAUUCAUAAGUCAGGCUAGUGAAGAUAUUAGAAAGAAAUUCCAACAUAACACCGAGGGUGUUGAGGGCAAAUCCAUGGCCGAAAUCUUGGCCAUUGCUACUAAAACCUUUAAUGGAAGAGAAGAAAAAAGAAAAACAAAGGGAAGACCAAUCCAACAUUCUCAUGUUGGCAGCAGUAAUUCAGCCGUCAAAUCCCUAUGGAAACAAUAUGCCCCGAGGCCCUUUGCGCCUAGACCACCGGGCUGCACCCACCAACCAUAUGGGCCCAAUGUAUGCCAUUACUGUAAACAGGAAGGACACUGGAAGAGAGAGUGUAAACUAAGACCAAAAAGGUCCCCAAGUGAUAACCCUGAAAACAGAAAGUUUAAGAACCCUCCGUUCGCUACUGUUACCCCAGAUUUUGCUCAAAACCAAUUUGACGUCUGACGUGAUGAGGGAGAUUCUACAUGCCACCUUUUGCAACUAUGCUCUGUCCAACCCAAAGAAGUCACCCUAAACUGCAGCGCUCAAAACCCUCUGAUACCCCUAGAAAUAGGAGGACACGUCUACAAGUGCCUGCUAGACACAGGGGCAACUUUUUCCAGUAUUUCCAAAGGACAUCUUUCACCAAGUGGAAGACAAGUCACAGUUAUGGGAAUCGAAGGUAGACCCUUCCGUUGCUCACUUUCUCAACCCACAAACAUCAAAGUUUGCCCCCUUUCAGCAGAACACUCUUUUCUUCUAGCAACUGGUCCUGUAAACCUUCUUGGACGGGAUCUUCUUUGCAAGCUACAAGCCACCAUACACUGCUCACCCAACGGAAUUACCCUAAUGUUUCCGUCCUCCCAGAUCCCUAUGCUAGCUACAGCGCUUGCAGUUACGGAGAACUCGAGCUUGCAGUCUCUUCCCCUUGUUCUAAAAGAAAAGGUACCCCAGAACUUUGGGGCCUCACCUCCAGCUCCGUGGGAGUGUUAAAAUCUGCAGAUCCUGUCAAAAUUCUAAUUCGUACCAAUGUCGAACCACCUAGAGUACCCCAAUACCCUUUAAGAACAGAGGCAAUUGAGGGACUUAAGCCUUUAAUUGAAGAUUUUUUUAAACAAGGAAUUUUAAUUCCCUGUCAGUCCCCUUGUAACACUCCCAUACUUCCAGUAAAAAAGCCUAAGCCUGGUCCAGACGGGAAGCCCAUUUAGCGUUUUGUUCAAGACCUCAGACAAAUUAAUAAGUAUGUCAUUCCUUGACAUCCUGUUGUUUCUAACCCCAAUACUAUCUUAACUGCAAUACCCCCUGACACUGCUGUUUAUACAGUAGUAGACCUCUGUUCAGCUUUCUUCAGCAUCCCCAUCCACCCUGAAUCCCAAUAUCUUUUUGCCUUCACCUGGGGUUCUUCUCAACUGACCUGGACAAGGUUGCCCCAGGGAUAUGUAGAAUCUCCCAGCAUUUUUUCUCAGAUUCUUCACAAAGAUUUGCAAGAUGUUACCUUUCCUAACUCCUCAUCCCUCUUAAUAUACGUGGAUGAUUUUCUCUUAUGCUCUACCUCAUCAGAGGCAUCUACCAGGACACCAUCGUCUUGCUUACUGCGCUAGCCGCCAAGGGUCACAAGGUGUCACCAAGCAAGCUUCAGUUCUGUAAAUCCACUGUUAAAUACUUAGGACACGUCUUAGAGCCAGGCCAAUGACGCCUUAGUGAUGACAGA